CUUGAAUUGUAUCUCCCAGAAUUUCCACGUGUUGUGUGUCGGACCCAGGAGGAGCUAAUUAAAUCACGGGGCCGCACUUUCCCCUGCUGUUCUCGUGAUAGUGAAUAAGUCUCACGAGAUCUGAUGCGUUUAUCGGGGGUUUCCGCUUUUGCUUCGUCUCUCAUUUUCUCUUGCUGCCGCGAUGUACGAAGUUCCUUUUGCCUGCCGCGAUGAUUUUGAGGCCUCCCCAGCCAUGUGAAACUACAUGGAUUCUCACUAUGACACCCAGGCUGGAGUGCAGUGGCACAAUCAUAGCUGACUACAGCCUCGAAUUUCUGGGCUCAAGCAAGGCUUUCAUCUCAACCUCCCCAGGAGCUGGGAUUACAGAUGGUGUCAGAAGCGGGGUUCAAAGUAGAGCUUUAAUGACCCCCAGAAGUGCUGAGUGAACAAGCAAGGUACCUGCAAGGACCCACUUGUGUCCUUUGAUCUCUCAGAGCAGUGGAAUUUUCAGCCUGCCAGCCUGCCCUACAGAAUUCAGACUUGUCAGCCUCCACAAUCAGGGAAGAAUGAAGAGGCUCUUUUAUAUUACCCUUACCAUUUAUAAGCAGGUCGGCAGCAGAAUGCAAACUGUUACUUUAAUUUUAUGUAAAUACUAGUUAUUUGUAUAUGAAAUAAUUUGUUACAAUAUCUAAUUUGCUUUACUGCCAGUGGCCCAAACUAAAUUAACAUUUUGAUUUAAAAAUUAUUCAAAUAUUGCAAUCUCAAAAUAAAGUACUUUGAUACUAAUUAUUUCUACCAAUAUCUAAAAUUACUAUAAAUUAUCUUAUCCUAUUAUGAUUUAUAUGUUUCCUGGAAUUUUAUUUACUUUUUGAAAACACUAUCUUUUCCCCUGUGGAAUUAUAAAUGGGAAUAUCCUUGGGCAAUUUAACAGUUAUAAAAAUUUUUUUAACUAUACAUAGUAAAGGCAAAUAAUCUUUAAACAGCUAAACCUAUAUUGACACCUCAAAAGUUUGCAUUUAAUUACUUCUUUUACACUAGCAGUUUUAUCUAUGCCAAUAAGUACUACUGUAAAAAAAUGGCAAUGAGCUCUUACUAUGGAAGAUCGUGAGGACAUAAACCAUUUCUGUCUCUCUCAUUGUUUUGUUUUUUAAUUGAGAUAUAGUCAAGAGUUAUUUUGAGGUUACAGAAGGCAAUUGAGAUAUUUUUUGGAUCUUUAGUUAUUUUUAGUUCCACCAAGUGAGUAAAGCAUCAGUCUUUUGGCAUUAAAAGAAUUAGAGUUCUGUGGAAAGAGAAUGUGUCCUUACCAUCAGUAGAAUUAAUUACAAGGAAUAACAAAGAGAAUCAGUGUCAGAAUUUGGGCUCCGUCUAUUAAUAGUCUUGAAAUACAUUUUAAACAACUGAUUUUCCUCUUUCUGAAUUUUUGCACAAUGAGAUUUUUUUGAGGCCAAAAUCCGCUGGCUUUCACAUUUAUUUCAUUGCUACUUGACUGAACUAGCUGAAAUUUUAAGUGUGUUUCUUGUUAAAGGGAAACUUAAGUCAGGCACAUUUGAGCAGAUUUAUUUUAAAAAGGAUAUUUUCACCUCUUCCUAAAGCAAUAUUCCAAGCUCAGUAACUGACAUUCAACAGAUGACUAAUGAAGGUCUUAUAGUAGAAAUUAGCCUCUUCCCUACCUCCUGGAUUCAGUUACCCUACUGAGACUCUCUCAAUCUGCCCUUUCCCCUCAACUGGCUCCCUGGAGAAAGCUGGAAGCAGGUGCUAGGAAUCUUGUCAUUAAUUCAGAUCAACAAUGUCAGUUAAUUAAGUGGAAGUUCUUUUACCCAGACUCUAAAGGCAAAGAUGACUAAGAAUCCAAAAUGAUUAAAAUAAAAAAUAGUUUUCUUUCCACCUCUGAAGUCAAUGUCCUUCUUCGUAACCAUAUUCAUUACAUUUUCUUAGGUUUAACUCUUUAAACAUAAAUAAGUAUGGCCAAAUAUAUUUGAUGAGAUACUUUAAAUCUAUACAUAGAUUUUACAUAUAUAAUCUGUAUUCUUAUAUGUAGAAUUUCAUGAAAACAGUGCUUUCCAACACAAAUUCCCCACAUCAUUUCUUCCACAGGAUGUGACUAGGUGGAUCUUUGGAGGAAAAAGAUAUUGUAGAGCAAAAUAAUGUCAGAAAUACUGGGUUUAUUAAGGAUGUCAUUGUUGCAGACCUUUACAAAGCCUAUAAUAUGCCAUAUAAUGUGUAUUACAGUAUAUCAUAGGAGAUGGAUACAUUGCAUGGUGUUUCAUCUAUAUAUGAUAUACAUAUAACAAUAGUAUUAUUUAAACAUAGACUAUUUUUUAAAUUUUUAAGCAUUUUUCAGCAACAGUCUUUAUAAGACAAGAAAAUUCUGAAAUGUCCUUUUUCAGAAGGUUUUUAUGCAACAUUUUUGCCCAAUACAUAUUGUUAACUCUAUUUCUUUCUUUUUAAUUUUUUUUCUUGAUUAUUAUUCUGUGAAUGCCACAUUAAAAGGCUGGAGAGGUUUCAAUUUCCACAUUUCCCUUGGUGCUAAGACAAACUCUUUUCUGAUAUGUGUGCUUGUCAAGGCUGAACUGUCCACUUUAUUUUCCAAUCUGUUUUCAAGUUUUUAUCAAUUUGACAUCAAAGCAAAAAUAAUAAAAGGAAAAAUUUCCCGUAGCAUUUAAUUGAAUACUAUGAAAUUCCUUUGAAGAGUAACCUGGGGCUUAUGUGCAAAAUAAAAAUAAGCAUCCCUUCCUCCAAACACUACUUCCAUCUGUUGAAAUGCAGUGAUGUGCUGAAACAUGAAACCUCACUGCUGUCUUCUGGAAAAGUGUCCUGUGAAGUGAAUCAUGCAAAGUGAAUGGUGCCCCUAGGGUUGUGCAGUGCACAACCUGCAAUGCUAUGGAAUGCUAUGGAACAAAAUUAAAAGCAGUGUGAAGUGUCCACAGGAUUCUAACAAAGGUUUUACUUAAGCUCACAGUCUCCUCUGUUGUGAGAGAGUACUGCACACACACAGAAAUCCAAAGUCUGAUUGUCCAAAUUUGUCAUUUUUAGCUUUUACUUUAUAUUUACUCUUAACCAGUCCUUUCACUUUGAGCCCCAUAUUAUCAUCUAUACCAUUUAGAAUACAAACCUUUUAUUUGUUGGUUAGUGCUGUCUGAUUUUAUUCUACAAACUCAUUCUACAAACUCUACUCUACAGACUCAUUCCCUGGAGUCCAGUAAAAGGGAGCUUAUUGUUUUCCUUGAUGAACCCUUUCAGUUUAGAGCUUGAGGCUCAUGAUAAUCACAUGCCAACGGACAAUUUACCUAUGAAAAAUUACACUUUAUAGCACUUUUUAAAAAAGAUAUGUCUAUUCGAUUUUGAGCCUGUCACAGUAUUAAAAACAUAUUUUGCAAUGCACUCCAUGUCAUCAGUCAGAAUUCAUCUGAUCAAAUUAACACAGGCUUAGAAAGUUCUUACUAUCAUACCUUUAGACCACGUGCUGCUGACCUAGUCUAAAUUACAGGUACAGAAUGUUUUCAGAGUUGCAUGGUAUAGCUAUGUUUUGAGGGGUGGAUGGAAAGAAUUCCCAUGGUAAUUUCCAUUGUGUGUUUUAACUUGAGCUGUGUACUCCUAAAAUGUUACCAUUUGCUUCUCUGAGUUACUUCAUCUCUGUGCCCCGCUUUCCAUUAUAGUAUUAGUAAGAUUCUAAUAUGAUUGUUUGUUUUCAUCUCUUUCUUUCUCCACUCUCCAUGAUCUGAACUUUUAAAAGUAAGCCCUUUUAUUUUUCUUUGUACCUUCACAG
rnacentral:lncRNA from 10 species